UGUGAACUCGAAGAGUAGGGCGGGACACGUGGUAUCCUGUCUGAAUAUGGGGGGACCAUCCUCCAAGGCUAAAUACUCCUGACUGACCGAUAGUGAACCAGUACCGUGAGGGAAAGGCGAAAAGAACCCCGGCGAGGGGAGUGAAAAAGAACCUGAAACCGUGUACGUACAAGCAGUGGGAGCACCUUCGGGUGUGACUGCGUACCUUUUGUAUAAUGGGUCAGCGACUUAUAUUCUGUAGCAAGGUUAACCGUAUAGGGGAGCCGCAGGGAAACCGAGUCUUAACUGGGCGUUAAGUUGCAGGGUAUAGACCCGAAACCCGGUGAUCUAGCCAUGGGCAGGUUGAAGGUUGGGUAACACUAACUGGAGGACCGAACCGACUAAUGUUGAAAAAUUAGCGGAUGACUUGUGGCUGGGGGUGAAAGGCCAAUCAAACCGGGAGAUAGCUGGUUCUCCCCGAAAGCUAUUUAGGUAGCGCCUCGUGAAUUCAUCUUCGGGGGUAGAGCACUGUUUCGGCUAGGGGGUCAUCCCGACUUACCAACCCGAUGCAAACUACGAAUACCGAAGAAUGUUAUCACGGGAGACACACGGCGGGUGCUAACGUCCGUCGUGAAGAGGGAAACAACCCAGACCGCCAGCUAAGGUCCCAAAGUCAUGGUUAAGUGGGAAACGAUGUGGGAAGGCACAGACAGCCAGGAUGUUGGCUUAGAAGCAGCCAUCAUUUAAAGAAAGCGUAAUAGCUCACUGGUCGAGUCGGCCUGCGCGGAAGAUGUAACGGGGCUAAACCAUGCACCGAAGCUGCGGCAGCGACACUAUGUGUUGUUGGGUAGGGGAGCGUUCUGUAAGCCUGCGAAGGUGUGCUGUGAGGCAUGCUGGAGGUAUCAGAAGUGCGAAUGCUGACAUAAGUAACGAUAAAGCGGGUGAAAAGCCCGCUCGCCGGAAGACCAAGGGUUCCUGUCCAACGUUAAUCGGGGCAGGGUGAGUCGACCCCUAAGGCGAGGCCGAAAGGCGUAGUCGAUGGGAAACAGGUUAAUAUUCCUGUACUUGGUGUUACUGCGAAGGGGGGACGGAGAAGGCUAUGUUAGCCGGGCGACGGUUGUCCCGGUUUAAGCAUGUAGGCUGGUUGUCCAGGCAAAUCCGGAUAAUCAAGGCUGAGGUGUGAUGACGAGGCACUACGGUGCUGAAGUAACAAAUGCCCUGCUUCCAGGAAAAGCCUCUAAGCAUCAGGUAACAUCAAAUCGUACCCCAAACCGACACAGGUGGUCAGGUAGAGAAUACCAAGGCGCUUGAGAGAACUCGGGUGAAGGAACUAGGCAAAAUGGUGCCGUAACUUCGGGAGAAGGCACGCUGGUGUGUAGGUGAAGUCCCUGCGGAUGGAGCUGAGACCAGUCGAAGAUACCAGCUGGCUGCAACUGUUUAUUAAAAACACAGCACUGUGCAAACACGAAAGUGGACGUAUACGGUGUGACGCCUGCCCGGUGCCGGAAGGUUAAUUGAUGGGGUUAUCCGUAAGGAGAAGCUCUUGAUCGAAGCCCCGGUAAACGGCGGCCGUAACUAUAACGGUCCUAAGGUAGCGAAAUUCCUUGUCGGGUAAGUUCCGACCUGCACGAAUGGCGUAAUGAUGGCCAGGCUGUCUCCACCCGAGACUCAGUGAAAUUGAACUCGCUGUGAAGAUGCAGUGUACCCGCGGCAAGACGGAAAGACCCCGUGAACCUUUACUAUAGCUUGACACUGAACAUUGAGCCUUGAUGUGUAGGAUAGGUGGGAGGCUUUGAAGCGUGGACGCCAGUCUGCGUGGAGCCAACCUUGAAAUACCACCCUUUAAUGUUUGAUGUUCUAACGUUGGCCCCUUACCGGGGUUGCGGACAGUGUCUGGUGGGUAGUUUGACUGGGGCGGUCUCCUCCCAAAGCGUAACGGAGGAGCACGAAGGUUAGCUAAUCCUGGUCGGACAUCAGGAGGUUAGUGCAAUGGCAUAAGCUAGCUUGACUGCGAGCGUGACGGCGCGAGCAGGUGCGAAAGCAGGUCAUAGUGAUCCGGUGGUUCUGAAUGGAAGGGCCAUCGCUCAACGGAUAAAAGGUACUCCGGGGAUAACAGGCUGAUACCGCCCAAGAGUUCAUAUCGACGGCGGUGUUUGGCACCUCGAUGUCGGCUCAUCACAUCCUGGGGCUGAAGUAGGUCCCAAGGGUAUGGCUGUUCGCCAUUUAAAGUGGUACGCGAGCUGGGUUUAGAACGUCGUGAGACAGUUCGGUCCCUAUCUGCCGUGGGCGCUGGAGAAUUGAGGGGGGCUGCUCCUAGUACGAGAGGACCGGAGUGGACGCAUCACUGGUGUUCGGGUUGUCAUGCCAAUGGCACUGCCCGGUAGCUAAAUGCGGAAGAGAUAAGUGCUGAAAGCAUCUAAGCACGAAACUUGCCCCGAGAUGAGUUCUCCCUGAGACUUUAAGUCUCCUGAAGGAACGUUGAAGACGACGACGUUGAUAGGCCGGGUGUGUAAGCGCAGCGAUGCGUUGAGCUAACCGGUACUAAUGAACCGUGAGGCUUAACCUUACAACGCCGAAG
rnacentral:rRNA from 2 species